AGACCAUCUGUUCAGAUGGACGAGCUUCUGAAUGCAGCCCUUACAGGGACAGAAGCAGGGCAGUCAGCGGCUGGAUCAGCCAGCCUGCAGAGCGGUACUUUCCCCCAGUGGAAUCCUUCAGGAAAGCGAAGGUUAUGGGACAAGAACUGGCUUGUCAUUCAAGAUCUUUACAAGAGGUACUCCAUAUGGACUAGUUGGCCGAAAGAACCCUACAUGGAUACCAUGUAAUUUUUAUUGCACUCGUAUAUUGUCUUCUGGAAGACCAUAUAACAUGCUGCGCUAUUAGGGUGAAUCCUACAGGACUUAGCCACCUUGUAAUUCCACCGUGUCAAUGCACAGCGAAAGGUCAGUAUCUCCAUUGUGUUCCAUGAAACCAAAGUUCUGCGGUUAGCAGCCAUUCUUUAAACUCAGGACACGUCCCACAAAUAAGUCCUUGUUGGAAUUAAGUGUUCACUGAAUGCCAGUAUUGAUUCAUGUUUCUUUUUAAAGCUCACUUGAGCUGACUUUACCCACAACAUUUGGGAAUUUGUCUGAAGGCACAUGUCUGGUGUAAGAUUUAAGAGGGGCACAUUUCUCUGUGGUGACUUAUUGCUGGUAU
rnacentral:lncRNA from 1 species